AUUGGGCAUAAAGGGCUCGCAGGCGGUUCCUUAAGUCUGAUGUGAAAGCCCCCGGCUCAACCGGGGAGGGUCAUUGGAAACUGGGGAACUUGAGUGCAGAAGAGGAGAGUGGAAUUCCACGUGUAGCGGUGAAAUGCGUAGAGAUGUGGAGGAACACCAGUGGCGAAGGCGACUCUCUGGUCUGUAACUGACGCUGAGGAGCGAAAGCGUGGGGAGCGAACAGGAUUAGAUACCCUGGUAGUCCACGCCGUAAACGAUGAGUGCUAAGUGUUAGGGGGUUUCCGCCCCUUAGUGCUGCAGCUAACGCAUUAAGCACUCCGCCUGGGGAGUACGGUCGCAAGACUGAAACUCAAAGGAAUUGACGGGGGCCCGCACAAGCGGUGGAGCAUGUGGUUUAAUUCGAAGCAACGCGAAGAACCUUACCAGGUCUUGACAUCCUCUGACAAUCCUAGAGAUAGGACGUCCCCUUCGGGGGCAGAGUGACAGGUGGUGCAUGGUUGUCGUCAGCUCGUGUCGUGAGAUGUUGGGUUAAGUCCCGCAACGAGCGCAACCCUUGAUCUUAGUUGCCAGCAUUCGGUUGGGCACUCUAAGGUGACUGCCGGUGACAAACCGGAGGAAGGUGGGGAUGACGUCAAAUCAUCAUGCCCCUUAUGACCUGGGCUACACACGUGCUACAAUGGACAGAACAAAGGGCAGCGAAACCGCGAGGUUAAGCCAAUCCCACAAAUCUGUUCUCAGUUCGGAUCGCAGUCUGCAACUCGACUGCGUGAAACUGGAAUCGAUAG
rnacentral:rRNA from 1 species